AGAGUUUGAUCAUGGCUCAGGAGUGAACGCUGGCGGCAAGGCCUAAAUACAAUGGCAAGUCGAACGGCAGCACAGCAGAGCUUGCUCUGUGGGUGGCGAGUGGCGGACGGGUGAGGAAUACGUGGGAAUCUGCCCAGUCGUGGGGGAUAACGUAGGGAAACUUACGCUAAUACCGCAUGCGCCUUCGGGGAAAGCCGGGGACCUUCGGGCCUGGCGCGAUUGGAUGAGCCCACGUCGGAUUAGCUAGUUGGCGGGGUAAAGGCCCACCAAGGCGACGAUCCGUAGCUGGUCUGAGAGGAUGAUCAGCCACACCGGAACUGAGACACGGUCCAGACUCCUACGGGAGGCAGCAGUAGGGAAUAUUGGACAAUGGGCGCAAGCCUGAUCCAGCCAUGCCGCGUGAGUGAAGAAGGCCCUCGGGUUGUAAAGCUCUUUUGUCCGGAAAGAAAAGCGCCGGGUUAAUACCCUGGUGUCCUGACGGUACCGGAAGAAUAAGCACCGGCUAACUUCGUG
rnacentral:rRNA from 1 species